GGACGAACGCUGGCGGCGUGCCUAAUACAUGCAAGUCGAACGAGCUCUCCUAAAUUGAUUUUAUGCUUGCAUAAAUGAUUUUUAGAUUCGGAGCGAGUGGCGAACUGGUGAGUAACACGUGGGUAACCUGCCCCGAAGCGGGGGAUAACAUUUGGAAACAAAUGCUAAUACCGCAUAAUUAGUUGGAACCGCAUGGUUCCAACUUGAAAGAUGGCUCUGCUAUCACUUUGGGAUGGACCCGCGCCGUAUUAGUUAGUUGGUGAGAUAAAAGCCCACCAAGACGAUGAUACGUAGCCGACCUGAGAGGGUAAUCGGCCACAUUGGGACUGAGACACGGCCCAGACUCCUACGGGAGGCAGCAGUAGGGAAUCUUCCACAAUGGACGAAAGUCUGAUGGAGCAACGCCGCGUGAGUGAUGAAGGUUUUCGGGAUCGUAAAACUCUGUUGUUAAAGAAGAACAAGUGUUAGAGUAACUGUUAACACUUUGACGGUAUUUAACCAGAAAGCCACGGCUAACUACGUGCCAGCAGCCGCGGUAAUACGUAGGUGGGCAAGCGUUGUCCGGAUUUAUUGGGGCGUAAAGCGAGCGCAGGCGGUUUUGUAAGUCUGCUGUGAAAGCCCUCAGCUCAACUGAGGAAGUGCAGUGGAAACUACAAAACUUGGAGUACAGAAGAGGAAAGUGGAACUCCAUGUGUAGCGGUGAAAUGCGUAGAUAUAUGGAAGAACACCAGUGGCGAAGGCGGCUUUCUGGUCUGUUACUGACGCUGAGGCUCGAAAGCAUGGGUAGCGAACAGGAUUAGAUACCCUGGUAGUCCAUGCCGUAAACGAUGAAUACUAGGUGUUGGAGGGUUUCCGCCCUUCAGUGCCGCAGCUAACGCAUUAAGUAUUCCGCCUGGGGAGUACGACCGCAAGGUUGAAACUCAAAGGAAUUGACGGGGGCCCGCACAAGUGGUGGAGCAUGUGGUUUAAUUCGAUGCUACGCGAAGAACCUUACCAGCUCUUGACAUCUUCUGCCAACCCAAGAGAUUGGGCGUUCCCUUCGGGGACAGAAUGACAGGUGGUGCAUGGUUGUCGUCAGCUCGUGUCGUGAGAUGUUGGGUUAAGUCCCGCAACGAGCGCAACCCUUAUUAUUAGUUGCCAGCAUUUAGUUGGGCACUCUAGUGAGACUGCCGGUGAUAAACCGGAGGAAGGUGGGGACGACGUCAAAUCAUCAUGCCCCUUAUGAGCUGGGCUACACACGUGCUACAAUGGAUGGUACAACGAGUCGCGAAACCGCGAGGUCAAGCUAAUCUCUUAAAGCCAUUCUCAGUUCGGAUUGCAGGCUGCAACUCGCCUGCAUGAAGUUGGAAUCACUAGUAAUCGUGGAUCAGCAUGCCACGGUGAAUACGUUCCC
rnacentral:rRNA from 1 species